rnacentral:rRNA from 1 species
AACGUAGGUGGCAAGCGUUGUCCGGAAUUACUGGGUGUAAAGGGAGCGCAGGCGGACCGGCAAGUUGGAAGUGAAAUCUAUGGGCUCAACCCAUAAAUUGCUUUCAAAACUGCUGGCCUUGAGUAGUGCAGAGGUAGGCGGAAUUCCCGGUGUAGCGGUGGAAUGCGUAGAUAUCGGGAGGAACACCAGUGGCGAAGGCGGCCUACUGGGCACCAACUGACGCUGAGGCUCGAAAGCAUGGGUAGCAAACAGG